GUGAACGCUGGCGGUAGGCCUAACACAUGCAAGUCGAACGGCAGCACAGAGGAGCUUGCUCCUUGGGUGGCGAGUGGCGGACGGGUGAGGAAUACAUCGGAAUCUACCCUGUCGUGGGGGAUAACGGCGGGAAACUUACGCUAAUACCGCAUACGACCUUCGGGUGAAAGAGGGGGCUCGCAAGACCUCUCGCGAUUGGAUGAGCCGAUGUCGGAUUAGCUAGUUGGCGGGGUAAAAGCCCACCAAGGCGACGAUCCGUAGCUGGUCUGAGAGGAUGAUCAGCCACACUGGAACUGAGACACGGUCCAGACUCCUACGGGAGGCAGCAGUGGGGAAUAUUGGACAAUGGGCGCAAGCCUGAUCCAGCCAUACCGCGUGGGUGAAGAAGGCCUUCGGGUUGUAAAGCCCUUUUGUUGGGAAAGAAAAGCGACCGGCUAAUACCCGGUUGUUCUGACGGUACCCAAAGAAUAAGCACCGGCUAACUUCGUGCCAGCCGCCGCGGUAAAAC
rnacentral:rRNA from 1 species